AAUCAAGCGCGAGAAGGGCGUUUGGUGGAUGCCUUGGCAGUAAGAGGCGAUGAAGGACGUGAUACUCUGCGAUAAGCCAUGAGGAGCUGAGAAUAAGCUUUGAUCCAUGGAUUUCCGAAUGGGGCAACCCACCUGAAAGGUGAUUGUUAGCAAUACCGUGAGUUACGGGAGCCUGGCGCUCAAGUACCGAAGCGGUAGCGCAUAUCAAUUAUCUUGAACAGGUACUUAUUACCUGAAUACAUAGGGUUUUAAGAGCAAACCCGGGGAACUGAAACAUCUAAGUACCCGGAGGAAAGGACAUCAAUAGAGACUCCCCUAGUAGCGGCGAGCGAACGGGGACCAGCCGAACUCUGAGAGUGACUGGAAUGGUCUGGAAAGGCCAACCACAGCGGGUGACAGUCCCGUACAGGAAGCUCGAUGAGACGUAUCAAGUAGGGCGGGACACGUGAAAUCCUGUCUGAAGAUCGGAGGACCACCUCCGAAGGCUAAGUACUCCUUACUGACCGAUAGCGAACCAGUACCGUGAGGGAAAGGUGAAAAGCACCCCGACGAGGGGAGUGAAACAGUACCUGAAACCGAGCGCCUACAAUCAGUCGGAGCUUGACUGGACUCUAAUGACAAUCUGAGCCAUGCAGUCGCCAGUGAAAAACUGGAGGCAAACAUGGCAGACGGAACCUUUGCAGCGCUGAUGCUCAUCGCGGGUCUGACCGAUAUGGGCAUGAACCACUGCGGAAACGGGGCAGGUUGCCUCGCACCGGGAGACACGCAGCCGCGUGUCGCAUUCUCGGCCGGUUCCGUGAUCGAACGCAGGGCCGAUAGCGGCGCGGAGAUCUAUCUCCGCUACGAUCUCGGCACCACGCUGGGGCCGUUCGGCCAGGCCAUCGGCCUGAGCUACGGCGACGAAAGCGGUUCCUGGAUCGGCUACGGCUGGACCUGGGGCACGUCUUUCGGCAACAGCCCGUUCUACACAGAACUGCACGCGAUGCCGGGGCUUUACGCUGCCGGCGACGACUUCGACCUCGGCGGACCGAUCGAGUUCCGCUCCGGGAUCGAGUUCGGCUACGAGGCCCGAAACGGCUGGCGUUACGCUCUCGGUUACGACCAUCGGUCGAAUGCCGGGAUCUAUGACGACAACCCGGGGAUCGAGACGGUGCAGUUCAAGGUGAGCGUGCCGCUGCGGUAAGCGCUGCGGUCGGAACGAAGCGCCAAAAAAAGGCCUCAAGUAGCCGAUAGGCGGUAGGCCAAACAUAAAAACGAUGACACUCCGACACGGAGUGUCGGGUUGUCAUCAGUGUCCAGUCUUGUGACGGCGUACCUUUUGUAUAAUGGGUCAUCGACUUGGUCUAUCUAGCAAGCUUAAGCCGAUAGGUGUAGGCGCAGCGAAAGCGAGUCUUAAUAGGGCGUCGAGUUAGAUGGAUCAGACCCGAAACCGAGUGAUCUAGGCAUGACCAGGAUGAAGGUAAGGUAACACUUACUGGAGGUCCGAACCCACACCUGUUGAAAAAGGUCGGGAUGAGUUGUGCCUAGGGGUGAAAGGCCAAUCAAACUCGGAGAUAGCUGGUUCUCCGCGAAAUCUAUUUAGGUAGAGCGUCAUCCGAAUACCCCGGGGGGUAGAGCACUGGAUGGGUAAUGGGGCCCCACAGGCUUACUGAUCCUAACCAAACUCCGAAUACCCGGGAGUACUAGAUGGCAGACACACGGCGGAUGCUAACGUCCGUCGUGGAGAGGGAAACAACCCUGACCUACAGCUAAGGCCCCCAAUUCAUGGCUAAGUGGGAAAGCAGGUGGGACGACCAAAACAACCAGGAGGUUGGCUUAGAAGCAGCCAUCCUUUAAAGAUAGCGUAACAGCUCACUGGUCUAAUCAAGUUGUCCUGCGGCGAAGAUGUAACGGGGCUCAAGCCAUGAGCCGAAGCUUAGGAUGCCGUAAGGCAUGGUAGCGGAGCGUAGUGUGACAUAGCACUUGUCUUUAUUAUCGCCCUUUGGUUGUUGAGCAUACGUGCUCAAGCAGCCGAUAGGCGGUAGCACAAGACAAAGUGCUUUCUGUGAAGCCGGGCUGUAAGGCAUCCGGUGGAGAGAUCACUAGCGAGAAUGAUGACAUGAGUAGCGACAAGGAGUGUGAGAGACACUCCCGCCGAAAGUCCAAGGGUUCCUGCUUAAAGCUAAUCUGAGCAGGGUAAGCCGGCCCCUAAGGCGAGGCCGAAAGGCGUAGUCGAUGGGAACCAGGUUAAUAUUCCUGGGCCAGGAGAUGGUGACGGAUUGCGAAGAUUGUUCGACCUUAUCGGAUUGGUCGGGCCGUUCAGCAGUCCCUGGAAAUAGCCCUCCACAGGACCGUACCCUAAACCGACACAGGUGGACUGGUAGAGAAUACCAAGGCGCUUGAGAGAACGAUGUUGAAGGAACUCGGCAAAAUACCUCCGUAAGUUCGCGAGAAGGAGGCCCGGUUCCAAGGCAACUUGGGGCUGGGGGCACAAACCAGGGGGUGGCGACUGUUUACUAAAAACACAGGGCUCUGCGAAGUCGCAAGACGACGUAUAGGGUCUGACGCCUGCCCGGUGCCUGAAGGUUAAAAGGAGGGGUGAGAGCUCUGAAUUGAAGCCCAGGUAAACGGCGGCCGUAACUAUAACGGUCCUAAGGUAGCGAAAUUCCUUGUCGGGUAAGUUCCGACCUGCACGAAUGGCGUAACGACUUCCCCGCUGUCUCCAACAUCGACUCAGCGAAAUUGAAUUGCCUGUCAAGAUGCAGGCUUCCCGCGGUUAGACGGAAAGACCCCGUGCACCUUUACUACAGCUUCGCACUGGCAUCAGGAUUGUGAUGUGCAGGAUAGGUGGUAGGCUUCGAAGCAGGGACGCCAGUCUCUGUGGAGCCGAAAGAUGAGAUACCACCCUUCGCACUCUUGAUGUCUAACCGCGAUCCGUUAUCCGGAUCCGGGACCCUGCGUGGCGGGUAGUUUGACUGGGGCGGUCGCCUCCUAAAGCGUAACGGAGGCGCGCGAAGGUUGGCUCAGAGCGGUCGGAAAUCGCUCGUUGAGUGCAAUGGCAGAAGCCAGCCUGACUGCAAGACUGACAAGUCGAGCAGAGUCGAAAGACGGCCAUAGUGAUCCGGUGGUCCCAAGUGGGAGGGCCAUCGCUCAACGGAUAAAAGGUACGCCGGGGAUAACAGGCUGAUACUGCCCAAGAGUCCAUAUCGACGGCAGUGUUUGGCACCUCGAUGUCGGCUCAUCUCAUCCUGGGGCUGGAGCAGGUCCCAAGGGUACGGCUGUUCGCCGUUUAAAGAGGUACGUGAGCUGGGUUUAGAACGUCGUGAGACAGUUCGGUCCCUAUCUGCCGUGGGUGUAGGAUACUUGAGAGGAGUUGCCCCUAGUACGAGAGGACCGGGGUGAACGAUCCACUGGUGGACCAGUUGUCGUGCCAACGGCAGUGCUGGGUAGCUAUGAUCGGACAGGAUAACCGCUGAAGGCAUCUAAGCGGGAAGCCCCCCUCAAAACAAGGUAUCCCUGAGGGCCGUGGUAGACCACCACGUCGAUAGGCCGGAGAUGUAAGCAUGGUAACAUGUUCAGUUGACCGGUACUAAUGGCCCGAUAGGCUUGAUUUG
rnacentral:rRNA from 1 species